UAUUGUCAAAAGCUUAAUAUUUGAAUUAAUCUCGUUGUUUUGACUAGUUCAAAAGGAAGUGAAUAACCUGUUCUGAGCUUUUUCCUGAACAUCUACUGUGAAUCCCAACAUCUCGUCUUUUCAAGCUUCAGAGCAGUAAAAAUAAAUCAAAAUAUACCAGAAAUGAGGGUCCCAGCAGUUUGUCUACUCUUUCUUUUUACACUAAUGCUGACUCUAUCGAUAUCAGAGACUCGGCCUAGUUUAGAUUCCAUGGAAUAUGCUUAUGAAGAAAUCACUUCUCCGAAGCUCAACAAUCCUCGUCGAGUCAGUAGUAGCAUGUGUACCAAAAAAAGUGACCACCGCGACCUUUGUGAGCGGUGUGCCAAAACUGUUGAUAACCCAAAGGUGUAUACUAAG